CUCUUUUAAAUAUUAUUUUAAUAAUUAUUCAUAUUUCAAGAACAGGAAGGCAGGUCAUUUUUCAAGUUUCUUAGAAUCAAAUCAUAACUCAGAAUGUAUGUUUCUCUUCCUAAUACAAGUUUUCAUCCACAUAGUGCUAUAAAAUAGUUCAUUUCAUUAUACUUCCAUUGGCCUUGUUGUUGCAGAUGUAUCUGUAUGUGCCCAGCUGAAACUAAAUUAAAUUUAGAUUUCAGCUGUCUUUCCCAUUGGCUUUCCUUUCUGCCAACACUCCCUAGCUACCUGAGUUUAACCCUUUCAUCACCAGGUGCUGAUCAGCUCUUCUGCUAUCCAUCACAUCCUCAAACACUUCCCAUUUUCUUCUGUAAAUACGCAAAAUACAAUAAGCAGAAAUAAUAGGUGAGAAAGGAGGUAUCCAGCACGUUUUCUCUUGUCCAUCAGCAUAUUAAAUAUCAGUUAGCAUUUCAUUGACACUGUACUCAGAGUGUAGUAAAAUAGUUUCUUGAGCCUUCUAAAAUUACCACUAGAUGACAGUGUAAGUCAGGGCAGUAGUCGUUAAGCUUUGUUAUUCAGAAUAACUGUUAGUACAGUCUGUGCUAUUUUGAGAGGAAAGUAGUGCCUGUCUCAAGAUUGUGGCUGGGUGGAUUAGUUCAUGUUUUCCUGACCUGCAAACAUUGAUGAUGUAUUGGCCAUACUGACAUACCAGUGCCUGCACAGUAAUUAAAAAGUACCUCUUAUGGCUGAUAAACAGAGGUUUGGUGGUGGUCCUAAAAUGAGCAUAUAAGUGUUACUAGCAUAUGUACCUGGCAUUGCUCGGAUCUUUAACUCUUUUGGGGGGCAGAUGAGAGGGGAUGCAGAAGUCAGGGGAGGAGAUGGGGGGGGCUCAGGGUGAUGGAUGCAGAAGGCAGGGCAAGGGGCUAGGAGGUGUGGGAAG